UGCGGCGGGAGCGAGGCGCGGCGCGAGACCGCCCCCCCGCCCCUCAGGGCCCCCCCGCGGCGCUUUCCCGCCCUCGGGGCGCCGCGCGCUCGCUGAGGGGGCAGGCGGGAGGCGCUGAGGGGACGCGCCCGGCCGGGCUCUCACUGCCCGCCGAGCCCCUCGGGAGCCUCGCCGACACAGCCCGGAGCCGGACGUGCCCUCGGGAGGGACUCUGCCAGGAGCAGUGUGGAGACGGCUUGGAAGUCCUGUGUCCCGCGGUCCCUCGCUGAAAUUCGAUUGGAAAGGCUGGAGCCACAGCAGCUGGGGAGCCACAGAGAGGUACGUCAUCGACAGUGUGCUGCUCCACGGCCAGCCUGGCUGGUUAGGGCAGUGCUUGUCACAGUUCCGUGGAGACAACACCGGAAAAACACCCUGCACUUACAGAUCACUCAUCUCAAGUUUCUCCUUCAAAUCCACAUUCAGACUGAAGCCGAACAUCAUCCAAAACUGGUGAGAGAUGACAGGCAUUGAAAAGGUAGCUUCAUUCCAAGCCUGUUCUCCUUGUGAGUCCCUCCUGUCUAAAUAAAGCUGUGGUACUUGUG